UUUGGUUUCUUUCAGUAGUUUCAGGAAGAUUUACUGAAGCUGUCCCUGUUUCAUAAACUGUGAUUAGAAACUUUGAUGUGGACAUGAACAGCUGGAAUGUACGUGUCUAUGGCCGUAUAUUUCCAUAAAGAAAGAAGUGAAAGAGUGCAUUUUUCUUUUUUCACAGUGUCUCUGUUUUGAUCAUUUCUGUACAUUUGGUAUUUCCUUUAGGUUGAAGUUCUGCAUGAUUUUGAGGCAGCUAACGGUGACGAGCUUAAUUUAAAUGGAGGGGAUAUUGCACUAGUGAUUCCUUCUGAGACCACAGCUGAUCAGGAGCAGCCCAUCUUGUACAAUUUGUACGAGCCACUUUGUGGCUGCAGUGGUAGGAAGUGUUGAUGAAAAGCAUGCCAUUGAACUGGGGGCUGGGAGGUUGGGCUCUGGACCUGCACAGUGAGACAGCCAGGUCUCUGCUCCGAAUGGAGAGCAGUUCUUCAAACAUGCCCAAAUGCUGUCAGCGCGUUUGGAGAGCCAGAGACUGUUCGUUAUCUAAGCUGAACUCUCUCUUAAUACAAGAGACAAGUAAUUGCUUUGGUUUCUGAUUCUUUUUUAUUGUUGUUUCUGAAUAAAAGAUUAUUUUACUUUC